UACUCACGGCAUAUGGAGGUUCCCAGGCUAGGGGUCUAACAGCCUAUGCCACAGCCACAGGAACACCAUAUCCAUGCCACGCCACGUCUGUGACCUACACCACAGCUCAAGGCAAUGAUGGAUCCUUAACCCACUGAGUGAGGCCAGGGAUCGAACCCACAACCUCAUGGUUCCUAGUCAGAUUCAUUUCCACUGCGCUACAAGGGUUACUCCAAGCCACUCUUAAGCAGAGUUUAAAACUGUUCACGACUAUUGCAUACCCCGUUACCCUUAUGGUUUAGGGUUAGUAGAGGUUAGAGAUUGACUGAAAAGUGUGUAGUUAGCUAAUGUUCACACAUCCAAAUGUGUCUGCCCAAGAAGCUCUUCAUUCCAUUUUCAGAAACAGAAUAUAAGGGGAUAUGAUGAAUCUGAUGCUAGAUAUAUGUUUGCAAUUGUAAUGGAGUUUUUGGAAAGCUGGACAUUUUAUCAAGGGGCAGAUAAAAAAAUAGGGGUAUUACUAUAAAAUUCAACAGAUUUGAAAUAUUGGAUGAAACCAUGGGAGUGAAUCCAGCAGUCAAAAGAGAGUAGUCAAGGGCUUUGGUAAUGUUCACCAUUAGGAGGCUGAAUGGAGAAGUCAGCUAAAGAGAUAGAAAACUGGAUUUGACAAUGGAAUGUGGCUGCUUAAUGAGCAAGUAUAGUCAUAUCUAUAGAAACUGAAUCAUCAGGAGUGAUUUGCAGUGGAUGCACCACUCAAUCUUAAGAAACCAUUGAGAACAAAUAGCGGUGUUGACUAUUGCUCCCAAAAGAAUUUCUAGAGACCUCAAACACUGAGAAGGAAGGUCAAGCUAUCCCUUUUAUCUGUUACAUUCUUUGUCCCUUUCACUUCCACCUACAACCUCAGCUACUAAUGAACUUGCUGUUCAGAUACUAGCAUAGAAAGUUUGUGCUUAAUCAAUCAUUCUACAUCAUGUAAUUACUGGUAUUUAUGACACAUUAAUAAAAUUCUAUUUACUCUAUGGAUAGAUAUACUCCCUAGUGAAACAGGCUACCCUUGCUCACCAGUGUAUUCCUGGAAAGAAUGAUUUGAGUGAAACAAUUCUGAUCAAGUGAUCUCACAACUUGGUUAUUAGCACCACCCUCACUCCCCAGUUUGUCUGUCCUCUUUAGGCUGGAGUAGUUUACAACAGUGCAUGGGACAGAACAUGGGACUGUGCAGAAAGAACCAAUUUUGAAAUAAAACAAAUCACUUUAUAAUCCUGGAUAUUCCACUUAACAGGUUUUGGCCUCAGGGAAGCUAUACAAGUAUUUCAAUCCCUUGAUCACCCUUUUAUGAAAACAAAAAUGAUACUAUCUGCUUCCUCUAUUUUCCAGGAUUUUAAUAGUUUUGGAAAAAAAUAUAUAUAUAAUAGUGGCGUAUUGCUCGGGGUCGAAUUGCAGCUAUAGCUGCCAGCCUUCACCACAGCCACAGCAACUCGGGAUCCCAGCUGCGUCUGUGACCUACACCACUGCUCAUAGCAAUGCCAGGGAUCGAAACCACAUCCUCAAGGAUACUAGUCGGAUUUGCUUCUGCUGCACCACAAUGCGGACUCCACAACAACAUAUUUUAAAGAAUAAUCUUUGUGGUAGAAGCAUCAUUACUAUCUAUAAAACGAGUAAAAUAUUUGUUUCCUCAGCAAGACUGAGAGAAGCUGACCAAUUCAUCUCUAAUAAUCCAUCGUGUUUUAUGCUAAACAAUUCUUUUCUGAAAAAUCUAAAUCAAUACAUUUAAAUUUAGGGAAUUGUUUUUCAAAAAGAUUUGUUAAUGGAUAUUGCCACAUUAAAACAAACAAAAUUCAUCUUUUAUUGGAGACAUCCUCAUCCAAAACAACCACUUUACAUAUUUAAUGACUAGCGUUAUGUUUUACCACAAAUGAACUCCCUAAUGCAUCAUAAUUUGCUAAAGUACUUUAGUACAUUUAUAUAUCUCACUAUUUGAACAACAUAUUCCUAUGAACAUAAAGGACCAUUUACCCAAAAACACGUCAUUAGCUGGGAAAAAAAUAUAAGACGUUUAGCAUAUUCUAAAGGAGCUGAAUAACAUGUUGCUUAAACUUCUCUAGAACAUCUCAUCCUGAGAUAUCACUAGUAGCUAAAGCACCAUUACUAUUUAACCAGUUUGUAAGGUGCAAAUAUACAAUAAUAGCUGGGUAAUUGGAAAAGAAUCGUGCAGUGUAAAAGGCAGAUCUCCACUAUUCUAUGCAUGAAAUAGUGAUCACUAUUACAUUAAGAUGAGAAAAACUCCACAAUAUUAAUGAUAAUACUGAAAAAAUAAAGUUUAUUUUCUCUUAGUGGGACAAUUAAUGAGAAAUAAGGAUUCUUUAACUGCAGGUUAUUAGUUUAUAUCAGUCACUGCUGCAUCAGAAGAACUAAUCAGAAAGAUGUAAAUAAGCAAAUUACCAACUGUCAAAAACAUUAUCACUAUCAAAUUUAAUGGGUUUCCCCCAGGCAAGCUAACAUUGCUUUUGCCUGAAGGCCAGCUCAAAAAUGAAUCAUGAGGGAGACAAGUCAUAUAAAUGCAAUAGACUUUAAUUCUUUCUGUACAUAUGAACUUGAAAAAUAAACUUUAAAACUCAUUGUUAAAUUUUGUAUCAGAAAAGUAACCAUGAAGACAGCUGACUCCUGUAGGCCAUAUUAAAUAUUCUUCAAUGACCUCUCUUUUCUUUGCUUUUAAGUUAACAUAAGUAUGAGCAUAAAAUAUCAAAUCAAUUAGUACAUAUAGCUAUCCCAUAGGGUAGACUAAAAAGUGAUUUUCAUUAUGAAAAGUUGUAGAUAAAACCAACAUGGUGAUUUGUAAUGUAUUCACUGAACUGGAAGUGAACUGUUCUAAACACUCAAAAAAAUUAAUUCAAUGAUGUCUUUAGAGGCCAAAUAUGCAAGGUAUAUAUUUUCUCAUCCUGCCAAUUUGUACCAUCUACUAUUUACACAGAUGUAUUCCUAAUGCAAAACUAAAAUGUUAAACAUAUUUAAUUUUGGUUUUAUUUAAUCUAUUUACAAUAUUGUAGUCCAUCCAUUAUUCAUAGAAAGUAAAAUGAAUGGUUUGAGGAGUGAGGGGAACUUAUGUAAAGAUUUUAGAAAAGAAAAGUGUCCAUAUACAAGGGUAUCUUAAAAUCACACUUGUCUCUGUAGCAAUGUAAUAAAGUUAAGGAUUCCACCUGAAGGUUAAACAAAAGUUAACCAUCUAUGUCUCAGGGAAGUUGUGUCAGCCACUGUGGAGCUAGGUAACAAGAUCAGUGGGAAGGAGAAACUAUCAUCUUUGGGAAUGCUAUGGGUAUUUUGGAAACGAUGUUUAAAUUUGAUCUCCCAGAAGACUUCCUUCAAUAUGGGGACAGGGCUGACCUUGGGACAAAGAGUUAAUGUGUUACAGUUAAUUUUCCUUCUCUCACAAUGCCCUAUCAGCUUGUUUUGGGACUCAACUUGACUAACCUCAUCCCUAGUUGUUAACCUAAUCUAGCAGCUCUCCAAGUCUCACUCAUAUAGUGAAUAACAAAGAUUUUAAAAUAAUAUAUAUUUUUAAUUGAGACCCAUGCCAAAGCAUUAUUUAGACUUCAAGAAAUGUAUCUUUAAAUGGUGGGCUGUGUAGAAUUGUAAUAUGUACUGUACACUGCUUUAUAGAUCCCAUGCAAUGUGACAUAACUGCCAACAUGUAAAGUCAGCCUUCAUGACAGCUUGAUAAAAAAAGUUAGCACUCUUAUCAGGUAAGCAUUUAAGCCAUUCAAUUCCACCUGCACAUUAACCAAGCUGGUAUGGCAGGUCAGAGAACACAAGUCCUAGAAGGUCUAUUUUCCCUCUUACAUACAGUUAUCUAGAAAUAUUUAUUCAUUUAAGACUAUUGAUGUUGUCAGAAUGAAUAUAGACAGAGACAUCUUUCUCUCUAUAGAUAGAUAAGGAGGGAGGAAAGGACAAAAAGACAGACCAUUUUGGAAGGCAACACUGUAACUGUAAUUGCCUUUAUAAGAAUAACUACAAACAUUAUUAUUAUACAAAUUAAAACACAAAUAGCUAGUAGGUGCGUCUUUUGGUUGUUUGCUUGUAGUAACUGACAAAGAUUGAUCAGCCUAUACUCAUUUAACUGCACAGUGCUUCACCAUCACUUAUUACCUAACUUUCCCAUCAUAGCCCUGAGAGAGUGUCAGAAUGUGCCCUGGCAGGUAAUAAGCAGCUAAAUCAUGCAGUAACACAUUGUGAUCACAGGAGCUUCCUGGGGCUCUGGGAGGCAGAGGGCAGAGGUAUUACUAAGGAAUACCUGGACACUGACUCUCCCUCUCCCAGCUUUCGCAUCUUUUCCCCAAUUUGAGAAUUAUCUCUACAGAUGCUGAUACUGGCGGAGAAUGAAUAAGAACAGAUCUCUAUAACUUUAUUUUUAAAGGCUUACAUAAAUUCCCCCAGAAGAGGGAUGAAGCCCCACGUGAAUUUACACUGAGGUUUAGUAAGAACUCUACUUUGCAGAUUCUGUCAAAUUCUACCUUUGGGUUAAAAGCUUAGGCAUAAUGAUUACCAAUUUCUGCUGCGUGUAUAUAUGUAGUACUAUUGUGUUUUCCUUCUAUUUCUUUUUAAAAAGGUGUUUUUCCCCAAUUCAAUUCAAAUGUAGUUAAUUUUAUUGUAUGAAAGGUGGGUGUGGAGGUAGGUGGGGGUGGUUGUAGGAAUCUGCUCACACAUAUAUAUGUGUUUCCUUCUAGUCAAUUUAUAGCCUAACCUGAACCAGCACAUCUAUUGUGUUUGGGAGGUUUUUGAAACUUGUCUGGAAUAUUUCUUAGGGUUGUAGACAUCACAGACAUCACUGUGUUUGGUAUGAAGAAUCAGGUAAGCUAAAGAAAAGAUAUACAUUGCUCAUGCUGUAAUGGUUAUACACAGCCUAUUUCUCUGCAUACGUUUUCUUUUUAGGUAUAAAAAUCACUGGUAUUAGUAGCCACAUGCAUUUUUAUGGAUUUACAUACAUUAUUAAAUGCAUCAUUACCAAAAAUUCUCUGAAUAGAUUUAUGUUAUUCUCAUUUUAUUGACAACUUUGAGAGGUAAUUACAUUGGUCAAGAUCACAUAGCUGGAAGGAAGUACAGCAGGNNNNNNNNNNNNNNNNNNNNNNNNNNNNNNNNNNACAAGUUUCACAUCAAUUCCAAAAAUAAAGGCAGUAUAUGUCCAUGAAUAUGUGUGUGUUUGAGUACAUAUUCUCCUUGAUUUAUGACUUGCAUUUGAGAAUCUUGAGAAUAAAGUCUAAUUCAUUAAAUAUUUUAAAAAAUGACUACUCAGAUAUGAAUUCAUUGUAAUACUUAAGAUGAUCCCAAAAUACAUAUUUAUCCUCCAUUCAUUCACAAAUAUACUAUCAACACUUUCUUCAUCACUCAUGACUUAACUUCUUUAACUAAACUACAGAGUAUCAAAUUAGAAUUUGACUUAGUGCAGCAUUUUCUAAAUGCCAUAUACUUGAGAACUAAGCAUAAUUUUGUUCUAUCACAUAACUACCAUCCAUACUAUAAUUUACCUGAUGUUUUAAUUGGCUGCUUUAAUACAUAAGUGGAACUUUUUAGUAUUGCUGUAAUGGAAAUGAAUACUACUUUUCAUUGUCUUGUGUUACCCACAAAAACAAAUACAGUCAAAACAAAAGCUUAUUAUUAGUUAUCUAAUUAGUUAUCUUUGCCUUUGAGUAUGAGACCUCUUCUCUUUGCUAAAAACAAAAUUCAGACUAUUGCCUUUGGAAUGAAUUAGCAAUGAGAUACCGCUGUGUAGAAUAGGGAACUAUGUCUGGUCACUUAUGAUUGAGCAUGAUAAUGUGAGAAAAAAGAAUGUAUACAUGUAUUAAAAGAAUGCAUAUAUAUAUGUAUAUAUAUAUAUAUAUAUGUCUGUAUGUGUGACUGGGUCACUUUGCUGUACAGUGGAAAAUUGACAGAACACUGUAAACCAGCUAUAAUGGAAAAAAUAAAAAUCAUUAUAAGAAAAAAUAUUGAAAAUUCUUGGCUUGUUGAGAAUACACUAGUACAAAAAUAAGUAUUUUUCUUUUAGUAUCAGAAGAAAACAAUAAGGUAAUACCUUUCUCAAUAUGUGGUUUAAAUUUAUUGAGGUGGAGUUCCGGUCAUGGUGCAGCAGAAAUGAAUCUGACUAGCAUCCAUGAGAACUCAGGUUCUAUCCCUGGCCUUUCUCAGUGGGUUAAGGAGCUGGUAUUGCCAUAAGCUGUGGUAUAGGUUGCAGACACAGCUCAGAUCCUGCGUUGCUGUGGCUGUGGUUCAGACAGCAUCUGUAACUCUGAUUUGACCCCUAGCCUGGGAACUUUCAUAUGCCACAGGUGUGGCCCUAAUAAUAAUAAUAAUAAACAGAACAACAAAAACAUAAAUUUAUUGAGGUGAUUUUGUAUGUCUCAAGUGGAGACAACUUUAAUGAUCAUUUAAAAUCUUGUCUGAUAAAGCAAGGCUUAUCGCAAAUACAAACUGUUCUGGUAUUCAAUACCUUCCAAAAGUGGAAAGAACACAAUAAAGUGAUUAUAUUGGGCUCUGGGAUCAGAGGAUGUGAAUUUGAAUCCUUACUCUGGUACUUAUUAGCUAUGAUAUAUAAAACUGCAUUAACCAAUCUGAGCCUCAGUUUCCUUAUUUGUUAGCAGCCAUCAAUAGUUCUAAAAUUAAUAUGUAACUGCAAAAUGUAGUUAUCUAAUUCUAUCAUUUCUAUAUUUGGUAGGAUACUUUUUAACAGGACAUGCCCCUAGUCUGCUAUUUUGUUAUCCAAUGGUAAUACAUAUAUAGGAAAGGUA
rnacentral:lncRNA from 1 species